UGCAAGUCGAACGGUAUUGAGAAGCUUGCUUUUCAAGAGAGUGGCGCACSGGUGCGUAACACGUAUGAAACCUACCUUUAUCAGGGGGAUAGCCUCUCGAAAGAGAGAUUAAUACCGCAUAAUAUCACGAUGGGGCAUCCUAUUGUGAUUAAAUAUUUAUAGGAUAAAGAUGGUCAUGCGUGACAUUAGCUAGUUGGAGAGGUAACGGCUCACCAAGGCGACGAUGUCUAGGGGAUCUGAGAGGAUGGCCCCCCACACUGGUACUGAGACACGGACCAGACUCCUACGGGAGGCAGCAGUAAGGAAUAUUGGUCAAUGGACGGAAGUCUGAACCAGCCAUGCCGCGUGCAAGAAGAAGGCCCUACGGGUUGUAAAUUGCUUUUAAUCGAGAAUAAUAGCUUCUACGUGUAGAAGUAUGAAAGUAUCGAUAGAAUAAGGAUCGGCUAACUCCGUGCCAGCAGCCGCGGUAAUACGGAGGAUCCAAGCGUUAUCCGGAUUUAUUGGGUUUAAAGGGUGCGUAGGCGGCCUAUUAAGUCAGAGGUGAAAUUUUGCAGCUUAACUGUAAACGUGCCUUUGAUACUGAUAGGCUUGAAUUAAGAUGAAGUGGGCAGAAUGUGACAAGUAGCGGUGAAAUGCAUAGAUAUGUCACAGAACACCGAUUGCGAAGGCAGCUCACUAAGGUUAAAUUGACGCUGAGGCACGAAAGCGUGGGGAUCAAACAGGAUUAGAUACCCUGGUAGUCCACGCCCUAAACGAUGAAUACUCGAUGUUAGCGAUAUACAGUUAGCGUCAAAGCGAAAGCGUUAAGUAUUCCACCUGGGGAGUACGCCCGCAAGGGUGAAACUCAAAGGAAUUGACGGGGGCCCGCACAAGCGGAGGAGCAUGUGGUUUAAUUCGAUGAUACGCGAGGAACCUUACCCGGGCUUGAAAGUUACUGAAUGAUUCAGAGAUGGAUCAGUCCGCAAGGACAGGAAACUA
rnacentral:rRNA from 1 species